ensembl:lncRNA
UUAUUCCUGGAAAGUGCGAUACAUCUUGUCAUCAAGUUCCACAGCUCCAGUAUUUAUAUUAGAAGUGGAAUCACCCCAUGAGGGCUGUGACAGUUUGAAAAUAUACUGCAGAGUGUCCUUUCCAUUCUAGAUUUGUUUAUGCGGGGAGCUUUGGGUUGUGCUGCUCCUUUGAGGUAGAACAGUUUGACCAGAGAAACAAGAGAACAAAAUAAGAAUGCAGAGAAUCUUAGAAAUGCAUCGAAUGCACAGAAAUGAAAAUCAAUGUAAAAAGUACAGCAGACAGGUACAGGCAUACGAAAUUUCCUGGAUAACUGUACAACUUCUUUGAGAUCCUCCUCUUACAGUUUUCUCCGCCUUCUAGUCAUGUGUACAACUCCAUCUACCAUCUCCACCCUCCUCGCUCACUGGCUUGCUCUCUUAUCCUACACAUACACAUACACAUACGCACACACACGCGCACACACACACACACACGCACACGCACACACACGCUCCCAAGGUACACAACAAAUGCUAGGAGUGAGAGCACUAACUUCACCUACUAUAAUGAGAGAGACACCAUGGGCCAUUUCUUUUCCAUUGGAUUCAUGCAAAGAGAGGGGGGAGGAAUAAGGGGGGAACCCCUGUGAGGAACCUCAGGGUUUUAAGUAAGAGCGGAUAAAGCCAUUAGCGUUUGACAAGAAGCCAUGCCAAUAUUUUAGAAUGGCCUAAGCCAACCGAUAGUAACAUUUUUUUUUUUAAUUGAUAAACUGUUCCAGAUGUUUCCUCCCUUGACUGACGACUGUCAGGACAGAAGGAUGUCAAGUGUGUAGAGAUGGAGUGGUUGUAAGGAGGGAUGAGGAAAACAGCUUUAUUUGGAAAUCACACUCUCAGUACCUUUACCGGAGGGGUUGUGAUCGCAGAAGCUUUCUUCUCCAUCAUCUCCAUCAUCAUCAUCGUCAUCGCCAUCAUCUUGCCAUCUUCUUUUGUAAAAAUGAAAAAUGUUAACUUUGCUCGUGGCAAAAAAAAAAAAAAAAUAGUAAGGGUAAGAAACCGUCCACUGCCACCUCCCUCCAACUGUCAAUCUCAAGCAGAGGAAGUUCAGAUACGGUUUCAGAGUCCUCCGAGCUGAGCAUCUCCAACCUGAGCAACCACAGGACGGGGAAGGUGGACGUAAAGCAAUUUGCAAGGACUCAGUUCAUUUCGAACAGACUCUCUCCCUCUUCUCUCCUGCCCUGGGCGUCUCUGGGGCGACUCGGCCUGGCACUCAAUAUACACGGCACAGCGGAAGUUUUGAGAAAACCCCUUUGUACCUUCCCUUUCUCUUCCCCCCUCCCUUUCUCUCUCUCCCACCCCGCGCCUUCUCCAUUUUUGUUGUUGCUACAGCAGGAAGGAAACUGGAAGGAGUUGCGAACUGCACUUUGGUAGCUCAACAAUGAGCUUAUUCGUGAGCCAAUCAGGCACUCGAUCCCCCCUUCCACCGGCAGACACCGAUCUUAGUUCUCCAUUAAAUCUCCUGCUCAUUAAGAGGCUAAGUGGGGAAGAGAUGGAGUGGGGAGAAAAGGGAGAAAGAAAUUUAGAGAGAAACUGGGAACAACGAUCUUUCUCUCGCGCGCGCGCGGGUGCGUAUGAAUAGUUCGAGGCUGCCGGGAGACCUGGGCGCCGUAAGAUCCAAGUCAGGAAGAGAUCAAGAGAGCAGCCAAACGCCUGGCUCUUUUAAGGAGGUGGGAGAGAGCAACAGCCCCGCGCUAACCAGCCUCGCCUUCCAGGCGGACCCGGGCGCUGCUGCCGUCGCUUCCUUCCCCUGUAGCCUUGUUCCUCCUUUGCCAGCACCCGCUCGUUAGCGCUUAAACGAAAGAUCUCUUGGCUUGUACCAGGGAGACUUUCCAAUCUCAAUUAAUCGGUUAGUCA